AUAAAUAAAAUGUGAUGUUUCCCGUACAUAACACAUCCUACACUGUAAACCCUAAUGUUGUAUGUACUUAAACAAUCAAGUGAUGUUGACUAAACAUUAAUUAAAAUUUUCCAUUUUGGUCCUGACAUUUAAAAAUAUGAGUUGAUUUAACUUUAUGUACCUUCAAAAUGCUUAAACUUACAAUUUCAAGUCUUGUGAGCUCAAAAUCAUGAUUAAUCCUUUAAAAAUCCUUUUGGUCAUUUUUACUUAAAACAGUUCACUCCAUGCAAGCAGUUCUGUUCUACCUAGCAACAAGAAAACUAAUGCACCGAUUGGUGGAUUACAAAGUUGGUCCUUUUGGCCUCGUCUGCUCUGUUGCUGAGCUGACACUCACAGUUCAAGACGGAAUAUGUGCUAUGUUCGGUAACAUGAGACAAGGACAUGUGGAAAUUCAGCCCAAACAACCGAUGUCCGAACCCUUGUUCUUUGAGGACCGCCUAUCAUGCUCGGAGAUGAUGACUCUUCUUUCUUCAAGUCAUGUUAAGUAAGUACAUCUGUUCUUAAAAGGGAUAGUUCACCCAAAACUUUUUACUUUAAAAAGUUUUAAAUAUAUAUAUUUUUCUUACCAAACCCCAUUGAGUCACUUCAGAAGGUCUUUAACACACUCAUCUAUAUAUUGAAAGGCCUGAGUGUGAGUACAUUUUCAUUUUUGGGUGAAGCAUUACUUUAACAUACAAAGUGGCACCUUUUUUGUUUAAGUCUUCAAUAUAAUAAACGUCAUUUAUAAUGCAUACUUUCAAAACUGUAUACCAAAUUCUUUGCAGGAAGCAUCUAUAUUUACAUCAAUUCAAAUGUAUACAUGUUAAUAUAAUGUUGGUUUAGGGUUAGUGAUUAGCUAUUUUAAUAAACUUAAUGUGCAUUCUGAUAAGCAUGCAUUGAUGAUAAACCUUUGAUUCCUGAUCUUAUUCGAGGACACUGAUCUUCAGCCCCCCAACUCCUUGCAUUUGACGACUUCUAUUCUUCGAAGACAAUGUUCAGUGACAAUGUGCCGUGUUUGCACAAAGCUUAAAUGGUGAAAUGUAGUUUUUAUUAUGUGUAGCCUACAUGUUCAGUACAUUAACAAUUGUGAGGCGUAAAAGGUGUAAUUGGUGCACAGAGUUGUACAAUUGAUGCAAGUCCACCAGUUAAUGUUGGACAU